rnacentral:rRNA from 1 species
UGAAUACGAGAUGCUACGGCGUCGAAGCAGUCUAUGUCAUACUUCCAAGAAAAGCUUGCACUGUCAUAAACAAAUAAUGCCUGUACCAUAACCGACACAGGUGGGUAGGUAGAGUAUACUAAGGGGCGCGAGAUAACUCUCUCUAAGGAACUCGGCAAAAUGACUCCGUAACUUCGGGAGAAGGAGUGCCUUAUUUAUAAGGUUGCAAUAACAAGAUCCAAGCAACUGUUUACCAAAAACACAGGUCUCCGCUAAGUCGUAAGACGAUGUAUGGGGGCUGACGCCUGCCCAGUGCCAGAAGGUUAAAGAAGUUGGUUAGCAUCCGCGAAGCUGAUAACUGAAGCCCUGGUGAACGGCGGCCGUAACUAUAACGGUCCUAAGGUAGCGAAAUUCCUUGUCGGGUAAGUUCCGACCCGCACGAAAGGCGUAAUGAUUUGGAUACUGUCUCGGAGAGGGGCUCGGUGAAAUAGACUUGUCUGUGAAGAUGCGGACUACCUGCACCAGGACAGAAAGACCCUAUGAAGCUUUACUGUAACCUGAAAUUGAAAUUGGACUUUACUUGCGCAGUAUAGGUGGGAGGCGUUGAGAAUAUUCUUGCGGGAUUAUUGGAGCCAUCAGUGAGAUACCACUCUUGUAAUGUUAGAUUUCUAACUUUGUAUCAUUAUCUGGUCAAAGAACAGUUUCAGGCGGGCAGUUUGACUGGGGCGGUCGCCUCCUAAACGGUAACGGAGGCGCACAAAGGUUUCCUCUGAACGGGUAGAAAUCGUAUCUAGAGUGUAAAGGCAUAAGGAAGCUUGACUGUGAGACCUACAAGUCGAGCAGGGACGAAAGUCGGUCUUAGUGAUCUGACGGUGCUGAGUGGAAAGGCCGUCACUCAACGGAUAAAAGUUACUCUAGGAUAACAGGCUGAUCUCCCCCAAGAGUUCACAUCGACGGGGAGGUUUGGCACCUCGAUGUCGGCUCAUCGCAUCCUGGGGCGGUAGUACGUCCCAAGGGUUGGGCUGUUCGCCCAUGAAAGCGGUACGCGAGCUGGGUUCAGAACGUCGUGAGACAGUUCGGUCCAUAUCCGGUGUAGGCGUUAGAAUAUUGAGAGGAGCCUUCUUUAGUACGAGAGGACCGAGAAGGACAUACCUCUGGUGUACCAGUUAUCGUGCCAACGGUAAACGCUGGGUAGCUAUGUGUGGAGUGGAUAACCGCUGAAAGCAUCUAAGUGGGAAGCCCACCUCAAGAUGAGUGCUCUCACAGGGUUAACCUGGUAAGGUCACGGGAAGACCACCCGUUAAUAGGCACUAGGUGGAAGUCCAGUAAUGGAU